AGCUUUUAUGAGUGCAAGAAUAUGUUGGGUGUCCUUAAUUAAGAUGCCAUAUGUGAAGAUUGACGCCUGCACCAAUAAUUGCAUGUUAUACUACAAGCAAGAUGAUAAGAAAGAGAAGUGUGAUAUUUGUGGAGAAAGUCGGUAUGAAGUUGUUGAGGGAGGAAGCUUAGAAAUAUGAGUGGCUGUAAGACCAUGGUGGUGCACUGUUAUUUCCUGGGAGGCCUUCGUUGAUGAAUGGUGUGAUGCUAAAUGGAUCGCAACAUCUAAGAAAAAUCGUGUUAAUCGCCUCAACUCUAAGUACAAGGCCCAUAGAGGUGGAUCUAAUUCCUUGACGACAGUUUGCCAAAAAUUGGUACCCUCCUAACUUUUGAAUAAAAAUUAAGUAUGUUUUCUAUGUAGUGACUUUGUUUUUUCUUUAUCUUAGUCUGAGAAAGAAGGAAGAGAGGUAUCUAAUAUUGAGGCACGGAUAUAUACGCAUAGAGGAAAAAGAUCCAAAGAAUUGUCAUCCAAAGGAUUUGUACAAAAAUAAGGUUGUUAACAUGCAUGGUGAAGACGUACUGAUUGGAAGCAUUGUCAUGUUGAACCACAAGCCCUUUAUGAAGCUGGUGGUGGGAAGCCGCAUGGAAAGUGGUCACUAUUUAAUGGUGCUGUGGAGGGUAAAGAAACUCUUAGGGAGGUGCAGGUCAAUCGCUCUUUGUCUUCAUCAAAGCGCCAACGAAUACAACAUGAUAAAAGGAUUGCUCAACAUAAUGAGUUAAUGAAAGCACAUGCACAAAGUAUGGUUGAUUGGGGGGAAUCUGUGCAGGCUACAGUGGAGAGUAACCCUGGUGGUGUGAACAAGUUUCUUAUGGUGAAUACAUUCUUUUUGUGCAGUCAUUUUGUUUCUAUUGUAGCCACUUGCCAUAACUUUCUAAUUUGUCUCACAAAUUUCAGACCAUUGCGUCCCUUCAAGGAAUUCCAGGGCCUGAGAUUCCCUGCAUUACUAUACCCCCACCUCCAACUUUUCCAACUUUAACCACUUCGUCUCCAAUCUUUUC
rnacentral:lncRNA from 1 species